CAGCCGCCGCGGGAACACGUAGGGUGCAAGCGUUAAUCGGAAUUACUGGGCGUAAAGCGUGCGCAGGCGGUUAUAUAAGACAGAUGUGAAAUCCCCGGGCUCAACCUGGGAACUGCAUUUGUGACUGUAUAGCUAGAGUACGGCAGAGGGGGAUGGAAUUCCGCGUGUAGCAGUGAAAUGCGUAGAUAUGCGGAGGAACACCGAUGGCGAAGGCAAUCCCCUGGGCCUGUACUGACGCUCAUGCACGAAAGCGUGGGGAGCAAACAGGAUUAGAUACCCGGGUAGUCCCUGUCUCUUAUAA
rnacentral:rRNA from 1 species